AUUGAACGCUGGCGGCAGGCCUAACACAUGCAAGUCGAACGAGUGGCGGACGGGUGAGUAAUGUCUGGGAAACUGCCUGAUGGAGGGGGAUAACUACUGGAAACGGUAGCUAAUACCGCAUACCAUCGGAUGUGCCCAGAUGGGAUUAGCUAGUGGGGGGGGUAACGGCUCACCUAGGCGACGAUCCCUCGCUGGUCUGAGAGGAUGACCGGCCACACUGGAACGGAGACACGCUCCAGACUCCUAGGGGAGGCAGCAGGGGGGAAUUUUGCACAAUGGGCGCAAGCCUGAGGCAGACAUGCCGCGUGUAUGAAGAAGGCCUUCGGGUUGUAAAGUACUUUCAGCGGGGAGGCGUUACCCGCAGAAGAAGCACCGGCUAACUCCGUGCCAGCAGCCGCGGUAAUUC
rnacentral:rRNA from 1 species